GCUUCGAUAGCUCAGUGGCAGAGCGGUGGGGCGUUUACCCAUGCGGCCCGGGUUCGAUCCCCGGUCGAUGCA